AUUGAACGCUGGCGGCAGGCCUAACACAUGCAAGUCGAACGAGUGGCGGACGGGUGAGUAAUGUCUGGGAAACUGCCUGAUGGAGGGGGAUAACUACUGGAAACGGUAGCUAAUACCGCAUACCAUCGGAUGUGCCCAGAUGGGAUUAGCUAGUAGGUGGGGUAAAGGCUCACCUAGGCGACGAUCCCUAGCUGGUCUGAGAGGAUGACCAGCCACACUGGAACUGAGACACGGUCCAGACUCCUACGGGAGGCAGCAGUGGGGAAUAUUGCACAAGGUGGGCAAGCCUGAUGCAGCCAUGCCGCGUGUAUGAAGAAGGCCUUCGGGUUGUAAAGUACUUUUAGCGGGGAGGCGUUGCCCUCAGAAGAGGCACCGGCUAACGCCGUGCCAGCAGCCGCGGUAAUUC
rnacentral:rRNA from 1 species